UUGAAUUCAAGAAAAAGGCCAAGAAAGAUUCUGGGUGUGAGAAAACAGGGUUUUCAUGUGGAUUUGGGUAAUGAUUCCAAUUUCUGUGGUUGUUUCUGGUUUUGGUUGCAGCUUCUGAUGCGGUGAUGAUGAUGAAUGAUGGCCAUGGUUGCGCGGAUAGUUGCACUGUGGUGGAAGACGAAUUGGGUUUCUGAUAUUCGGAAUUGUGCUUGCAGAUCUGGCUUUGAUGCAGGUUGCGAAAAUGGAGGAAGAUUGAUGGAAGAAAACGGCCAUGGAUGUUGCAGCGUGGUUGCGAUUCGAAGGGGAUGACGCUCGAAGCUUAACGGCGACAGGAUUCUGGAUUCUCCGCGACGGCGAAACUGUUGCUUGCUCACAGAAGGUUGGACGGUGGGGUGAAGGGUUUGUAAUGGUGGUGACGACGUCGCGGUGCUUGUGGAGAGGUGGCUGCUAGCGGCGCGAUUUCUCUGAUUCACGGUGCAGUGCGACGGC
rnacentral:lncRNA from 1 species